UCCCCGGGCCUUAGUUAGUUGUGGGGUAAAGGCCUACCAAGACAAUGAUGCAUAGCCGAGUUGAGAGACUGAUCGGCCACAUUGGGACUGAGACACGGCCCAAACUCCUACGGGAGGCUGCAGUAGGGAAUCUUCCACAAUGGGCGAAAGCCUGAUGGAGCAACGCCGCGUGUGUGAUGAAGGCUUUCGGGUCGUAAAGCACUGUUGUAUGGGAAGAAAAGUUAAGGUAGGGAAUGACCUUAGCCUGACGGUACCAUACCAGAAAGGGACGGCUAAAUACGUGCCAGCAGCCGCGGUAAUACGUAUGUCCCGAGCGUUAUCCGGAUUUAUUGGGCGUAAAGCGAGCGCAGACGGUUGGUUAAGUCUGAUGUGAAAGCCCGGAGCUCAACUCCGGAAAGGCAUUGGAAACUGGUUAACUUGAGUGCAGUAGAGGUAAGUGGAACUCCAUGUGUAGCGGUGGAAUGCGUAGAUAUAUGGAAGAACACCAGCGGCGAAGGCGGCUUACUGGACUGUAACUGACGUUGAGGCUCGAAAGUGUGGGUAGCAAACAGGAUUAGAUACCCUGGUAGUCCACACCGUAAACGAUGAACACUAGGUGUUAGGAGGUUUCCGCCUCUUAGUGCCGAAGCUAACGCAUUAAGUGUUCCGCCUGGGGAGUACGACCGCAAGGUUGAAACUCAAAGGAAUUGACGGGGACCCGCACAAGCGGUGGAGCAUGUGGUUUAAUUCGAAGCAACGCGAAGAACCUUACCAGGUCUUGACAUCCUUUGAAGCUUUUAGAAAUAGAAGUGUUCUCUUCGGAGACAAAGUGACAGGUGGUGCAUGGUCGUCGUCAGCUCGUGUCGUGAGAUGUUGGGUUAAGUCCCGCAACGAGCGCAACCCUUAUUGUUAGUUGCCAGCAUUCAGAUGGGCACUCUAGCGAGACUGCCGGUGACAAACCGGAGGAAGGCGGGGACGACGUCAGAUCAUCAUGCCCCUUAUGACCUGGGCUACACACGUGCUACAAUGGCGUAUACAACGAGUUGCCAACCUGCGAAGGUGAGCUAAUCUCUUAAAGUACGUCUCAGUUCGGACUGCAGUCUGCAACUCGACUGCACGAAGUCGGAAUCGCUAGUAAUCGCGGAUCAGCACGCCGCGGUGAAUACGUUCCCGGGUCUUGUACACACCGCCCGUCACACCAUGGAAGUUUGUAAUGCCCAAAGCCGGUGGCCUAACCGUAAGGAGGAACC
rnacentral:rRNA from 1 species